rnacentral:rRNA from 1 species
UACGGAGGGUGCAAGCAUUAAUCGGAUUUAUUGGGCGUAAAGGGCGCGUAGGCGGAGGUAUAAGUCAGGUGUGAAAUUCCGGAGCUCAACUUCGGAGCCGCACUUGAAACUGUAUUUCUAGAGGAUAGGCGGAGAAAACGGAAUUCCACAAGUAGCGGUGAAAUGCGUAGAGAUGUGGAAGAACACCGGUGGCGAAAGCGGUUUUCUAGGUUAUUCCUGACGCUAAAGCGCGAAAGCAAGGGGAGCAAACAGG